rnacentral:rRNA from 1 species
GACGUAGGGCGCGAGCGUUGUCCGGAUUUAUUGGGCGUAAAGAGCUCGUAGGCGGCUUGUCGCGUCGUCCGUGAAAACCCACAGCUCAACUGUGGGCUUGCGGUCGAUACGGGCAGGCUAGAGUUCGGUAGGGGAGACUGGAAUUCCUGGUGUAGCGGUGAAAUGCGCAGAUAUCAGGAGGAACACCGGUGGCGAAGGCGGGUCACUGGCCCGGUACUGACGCUGGAGGUGCGAAAGCGUUGGGGAGCAAACAGG